GGGGUCACCUGGGACGCUGGCGAGGAACCCUUGGCAGGUGCGCGCCCUGUCGUGAGUCUGGUGGUUAACGUUUGCCGUUGGGUAGCAGGGAGCCACCGGGAGAGCAGAAUAAAGCAGGGGUGUUGUAAUCAACACCGUGGGAAGAUUGGUCCGGCGGGAGCGUUCAGUGUGGAUGGAAGGCAGAGAGGUCCGUUAGGUGGCUGUCGCUUGUGGGCAGAACAGCCGCAGCGGAGUAGCCCGGGAGCUGAAAGGGCUGGUGGGGUCGCUUCGUGGGUGACGCCCGCCCACGGGUUUGUGUAGUUAUGCUGCCCCCAUUGCGAGGACCUGAGCUUUGACCGAAGUGUGGGUGUGUGUCCACGUCUGUGUAUUUGCUUCGUGAAUUAAAGCACGUGGCAGGUCAGUGGUGUGUGGUCCCAGGGAUACAGCCAAAGUGCUGAAACUCGGUGCUUUCUCAGCACCUGACGUCCUCGGGGAAAUCUGCCUGCCAGACCUAGAGUGGUACCCGCUGGACGGCGGGGGAGUGACGCCCCAGGCCUGUGCGAACACACAGUAUUUACGCGCCACACGGAGAACGCGGCACGUGUGUUCUUCGGUGCUCCUGCUGACUGCUUUCUGGUUUGUAUGGGUACCCAUUCCGUGGCUUUGCUAAAAUUCUUAGAGUGUACCAGGGAUUUGGUUGUCCUAAAGAAAAGACCCUCUGUUUGUCACUUCAGCCCAGCAUUCUUUAAACAGUUAUCUGUUUGUAGCACUUCAGACUGUGUAGUCUUUGUAAAAUCUCGCGUGAAACUCAGUGUGUGCUCGAGUCCAGACUUUACCCCGGAGGAGACCCUGGGGUGUGUGUCCGGAUCUGGGUGGCCUCGGUCGUAGCUGCGCUGUGACCGAUGUCGUCCGCAGGCUUGCCCUCCGCGGGAGGCGAGGGUGAGCUUCCUGGAUUGCUUUGCUCAUAAGUGUUUCCCGAAGACGGUUUAACUGGCAAGUGCCAGCUCGGGCCAUCCUUGGGGACAUGUGGCAGGUUAUAUUGUUGUCCCUUGGUGAUGUCGUAUGCCGUGUACCGUCCAGAGACGGACGUGAGUCUUCUGCCGUCGUGUUGUUCUGGCCACCGUGAGCUUCAGUUUGUGGCAUGGCCGUUAGGGCUGUCAUACGAUGAAUGUAGUGAUACUUGAUCGAGUUCUCGUAGGACAGAGUUUAGGAGCCACGUGGAUGCUGCGUGUCACACAUUCACUCUUGUCGCUGGCAUGGUAGCUCGUCUCGUCACUGAAGAGUCUGCAUUUUACUCUGUCGGUUAUGCUUCGGUUAAAAAAAAGUUGCUCGAUGACUUUUCGGGGGAGGGUGAUGAGAUCCACGGGUUGGAGCUACAGAUUGCCAGCCCUCUGGAGCGUUAGGGUCUGUGUCCUUCCAGGUGACACUCCGUGCAGACAAACUCUUUGAAAUGCUUAUUAUGUCUUAACUUCACUCAGUACAGGUAACUGGGAAAUCUUGGCUUAACCAGUUCUUAAGGUCAGAAAUUAAUUCUGUAGAUAGGAUGCAUCAUCCUUCCUCUUUAGGAAAAGAAAUAGAUUUGAAUUACUAUUGUUAUUUUAACAGGAAAAACUACUCUGGCCGACUGUCUUAUAUCUAGCAAUGGGAUCAUCUCCAGCCGCUUGGCAGGCAAGGUAAGUAGUUGCAUUCGAUGAAGUCUUGUUGCCUUUCAGUAGGGAGCAGCUGUCCGAGGUGUGAUGUAUUCGUAGACAUCCAGAAGAGUGCAAAGCCCAGUUUAUGUGUCUGAGAAGCUGCUCGUCUAUUUAGCAAGAUAAUAUACAUGUUGAGAAAGGUAUUUUAUGUUGCUGUAUAGUAAUAUGUCCUAAAUGCAGAAAUGAGUUUUUGUAACAAGUCCAGUGACGGCUGGCCCAGCUGUAGAAGCUCUCACAGAGCGUGAGGUUCUGUGGAGGACGAGUGUGUGGUUUGGGGAGAUGCCGGCAGGUGGGGGAGCACAGUGGACAAAGGGGAUCGGGGCUGAUUUGGGUGCUGUCCUCGAUUCGGGGGGAGCAUUUGCCUGGAGGCCCCGGGAGAGGAAAAGUCCUGGUGGAGAGAAUGCCAGAUUCCGGAAGAACUUGAAGGCAGCUGGAGUCUGAGGGUCAUGAUGAAAAUAGUGUCUUAGGAAGUGAAAUUAAAGAGAUCUUUGUUUCUAGCUGCGAGUGUAAGUUACUCGCAGUAGAAAAAUAGAGCAGUUCCUUCCCCCAAUGAGUUGAGGAUAUGAUCAGUGGAGUUGAUCACAGAGCUGGCAUUUCCGAUCUGUAGGGAAGAGACGAGCCUCUCCACACAUUGUCCUCGGACAGUUGGUUAUCUGCGUGGAAAAUAAAUAAAAUUGGACUUCUCCUUAACACCGCACACAGAAAUUAGCAUGUAAUUGAAACAGUCGUAUGUGAGAAGCAAAAUUAUAAAACUUGGGAAAAGAAUAUAGGAGAGUACUUCUGUGACCUCAAGAGAAGGUUUCGUCAGUGAGACGAAGAAGUACGUCCCGUUAUGUAGGUUUGAUCAACUCAAGUACAUUGCAACUAAGAACAUCUGUUCAUCAGGAAAUACCAUAAAAAGAGUGAGAAGACAAGCCUGGUAAGUGGGAGAAAAUAGUAAUAACACAUAAUUGACAGGGGUCUAAUAUUCAGGGACUGUAAAGAACUUCUAUCCGGAACAGAACAAAUCUGUAAUAUAACCAUUAAAAAGAUGGACAAAAAUCUUGAACAGGAAACUCCCAGAAGAGGAGUGCCACAUGGCCAGUGUGGCAAACUGGGAUACUCAACCCCACUGACAGUCGGAGAGAUGUAAAUUAAAAAAAUAAUCAUUUAUCAUCGUUUAUCAGUAUUUGUUUAUCAUUGAUCAUGGAAAAAGGAGUGAAGGCUCCUGAUGCUUCUAGAGAUCUUUGGUUUCAGUGUUUGCCCAGACUUCGUCAGACAGCCUAGGAGCAGGGAGAGAACGACCGGCCCCCGCGUGCUACAUGCUGGGGAGGGCGUGCGGAACCGGCAUGCGUGCGGAACGUGCUGUCUCUCGGGGCGUCCGCUCUCUUCCCUUGGCAGCUCACCUUCCUCACCCCCUCCCCACGUUAACAAACUACGAAGGGCUUUUAGUUUAAAAAUGAUGUGUUUAAAGCAAAAGUCCAGCUCAGACCGUCUUAAUGUCAACAUUUCACUGGGAAGUAAGGAUGCGUAUGUUGCAUUUUACAGUUAAGGUACAUGGACAGCAGAGAGGACGAACAGGUUCGAGGGAUCACUAUGAAGUCGAGUGCCAUUUCCCUACAUUAUGCCAAAGGUAAAUCAAUCUGUGUUUUUAUUUUUAAAUUUUUUUUUAUAAUGAUUUUAUUUAUUUUUGAGACAGAGAGAGACAGAGCAUGAACGGGGGAGGGUCAGAGAGAGGGAGACACAGAAUCUGAAACAGGCUCCAGGCUCUGAGCUGUCAGCACAGAGCCUGAUGAGGGGCUCGAACUCACGGACCGCGCGAGAUCAUGACCUGAGCCGAAGUCGGCCGCUUAACCGACUGAGCCACCCAGGCGCCCCAAUCAAUCUGUGUUUUAAAGAAAAAUAGUUUGUUUCUUCAGUGUCCUCCUUUCUGUUUCCGGAUUAAGUGUACGCUUCCGUUUCCAUGCUUUGUACUCCGCGAAUUUCCUUCUGGCGUCUGAUGAUCUGAUGCCAGAGUCAGGCUGUCCAGACUCGGACGCAUUUGGGGACCUCUGACCGGCCUGAGGGUGAAGAGCUGGCAGUUCACACCUGCCCACGUCCCCCCAGGUGAUCGUACGGAUUUCUCCACCAGGAGGGUCGCAAGGCCGUAGCCUUCCAUUCCUGGCUGGAUCCUUCUUCUGUCCUGUGGCCUCAGUACUGGCUUUAGAAUCUUACUCACUUGGGUUGCCAUGUUCGUUACAGUUUGCUCUCCCCUAAAUCGGGAUGUCGUUUUGACAGUAACGCUUGCAGAACUGAUGUGACAGGAGUAGUCAUACAAGUAUAUGACAUAUAUGUGAAUACUCACCAAAAAGCCUGUGUUAGUAAAAAUAAUGCCGACAACUUUCGUGUCUGCCUUUGGAAAAUGGCCAAGUAAACUGAUACAUCCGUGCUGUGAAACGCACGCAGAUGUUCAAACCACUGUUUGAUCUGUAUGUUAUCGUGUAGAAAAAAUGUGUUGACAAAAGCAAGUUGCAGAGUAAAUAUGUGUAAGAUGGGAGUGUGUUUUGGGAAUAAAAUACCAAGUGUGCAGAUAAAGAUGUCUGGAAGGCAACGUACCGAAGCCUUAACGCCAGUAUCCGCGUUAUGUGAAACUUAGUUUUCAAAACAUUUACUUUUGUAUCAUUUGGAAAUUUUACACAAAAUGUGUAUUUUUUUAAUUAGAAGAAAAUAAUAAAGUUCUGUUUCAUUUCCCUAAUGGAUCUGUGGUUCGUCUUCCGCAGUGUUCUAUGUCUGACCCUGACUCCCAGGAAUAUUCUGGGAGGUGUGACUGUAUUGCCUUUGACGCCAGUCUUUAAAAUAUUUUUGUGUUAAACCAGCCUUGAAGCUCUUGGGUAUUCUUGGUGAAUUCCACGUGUUUAAUAUUUAAAGUAAUGCCUUCUGUUUUUAAAACUACCUCUCACGUUUUAAAAGGUAUGUCCUCAUUCUGUGAGCCAGCCAAUGGGGCAGCGCUCCGUUUAUUUGCCACCUCCCCUUAUUUUUAUAGACCUCACGAGCUUUGCAGCCUGCCUUUUUCCACACUCAGACCGUUAGUCUCUCUUUGUUGGAUGAUUCCUCUAGGGUCAGCUUCUGGAUUCUGUCUCCAGGUCCUCCACCCCCUUUUGCAAGCAUCACGGUUUACUUUCUAUCGAUACCACUCGCCCAUUCCAGUGCACUGGUCUCUCUGGUUUAGCGCGGGAGGAGACCGGCUCUAGGGCCCUGGAGGUUGAAUGGUCUGCCCUCCGUUUUGUUCAGCUCUGACCUUGGGCGCCUCACUCCCAGACUGUUUUAGAUGCGCUCCCUUGACUACACAGAACCGAGGCUUAAGCCCGCAUGUGCUGCGGAGGGUUGGCUUAUUGAAAGAAUGUGUGUGCUAUGACAUUGGAGAAAUGUUCCUGAAAACUGAAAACCAGGAGUGUUCAUUGGAGUGACAGCUCAUAGAAAUUGAAGGCAGAUGUUGAUUCUGGAUCCCAGACGGCCCCAGGUACCGUUGGGACAAGUUAAGGAUCUUUCCUCUGCAGCCCCACCGUUAGGUACCCUUGGGUUUUGUUCUCCGUCUUUGUCUCUGUUACCCUUUGAGUCUUUUCUCUAUCACAGCUUUUCCCUCCUCUCAGUGUCCCCGUCUGCAGAAACUCCCCUCAGCCUGAACUCUGUUUUUUCAUCCUGUUUCCGUUGCUUACUGCUGCUUUCUCUUGUGUUUCCGAUCGCACAUUCUCAGGAGCAAGAUGUGGCCGGGCUUAUCUGUUCUGCCAGGCCCGGGCACAGGUGGCACCUGUGGAUGGGCCGCCCGCGGGUCGGACGGCCGCCUCCUAGUCUGACUAGUGCCGAUGGGAGUGCGGAGUCGUAAGGUGUCAGUUGUGUCUCUCUGGGAGCGUGACUGCCUGGCAGGGGCUCUGGCAUAGACAUUUGUCACACCUGACGGCUGGUGCGCAGUCUCCUCUCCACAUGUACAAAGAGUGGGGCACGUGCCCUCAGACACCUCAGACACGAGAUACGCUCCUAUCUGCGUCUCAGUCCUGAUUCUCUGCAAGAGGGUGUUCCUGCCGCGAACGUGGGGCCAUCCGAGAGGGACCUCCUCCCGGAGGAGGGAAACCUGAUGGUGAAGAAACUCCACGGGUGGUUUUUGUUUCCUAUGUCUGCCCCUUCCUGCCCCCUCCAAAUAACCUCUUAAUUAACAUUUAGCACAGAGAUUCUUUUCUAAGUGCUUUCUGGUUCUGACACUUGAUCUAACCAGCUUUCCAAAAUUUUUUCAAAUCCUUAUUUGGAUCGAAAGAGUAUUUUUCUAGUUUAAAGUAAAUAAAUAGGCUUACAGAACCCAGGCAUGUAUUAGAAAUGCUGUUGAAAACCCAAGCAUGUUCUGAGAAGGUGAUACAGCAUCACCUUCUAUAUCGUCCUCCCGGGACCCAAUUCUUGCUUGAGAAGAAGAUGGAGCCUCCUGUCUUUACCUUUGUCACCAAAGUUUGCUUCAAGGGUCGGGACCAUGUUGUUAACCCUUGUUAUUUUCCUGUUUUGUACCUCUCUCUGUGUCCUUCCCACAGGGAUAUCGUACAUUUACCCGGUCAAGAGUUAGGACAUACUCCUGGCAACGUACUUUCUAUAAAAAAAAAUUCCAAGGGGAUGUAAUUCCUUUGAAUCGUUUAGCCUAGAGUUCAGAUAAAGAUGGGAGAGAUGUCUUUAAGUGGGUCAGAUAAUUUGAAAUUCAUGUUCUGUUCUUUGAAGAGUCUCAAGGCAUUUUUGCUUUCAUUUCUGUUCUAUAGCCAUUCUUCAUACCGGUUCAUAACUAUUGCUGUCCUAGAACUUCUGAAAUGAAGUGUUCAUUCUAAUUCACCUUUUCAAAAAUUCUAAAUAAAUUGGGGUGCCUGGGUGGCUCAGUUGGUUAAGCCUCCGACCAUUGAUCUGUGCUCAGGUCAUGAUCUCAUAGUUUGUGGGAUCGAGCCCCGAGUGGGGCUUUGUGCUGACGGUGCAGAGCCUGCUUGGGAUUCUCUCUCUCUCCCUCUGUCUCUGCCCCUCCUCCAUGCUCUCUCUUGCUCGCUCUCUCAGAAUGAUAAACUUUAAAAAGAAAAUUCUAAAUAAACUUACACGUUUCACAUUUGUGUGUAUUAUAGAAAAUUCUAUACAUUAUGAAACACCCGAAUGAAAUAAUCACUCCAGUUUUACCAUGUCAUGUUUUCAAAUUUUACGUCUAAUCCAGCCGUAAUCGUGUGUGUGUGCAUGUGUGCAUAUAUGCACAUGCAGGCUGUGAGGUCUCUAACUAAAUUUCCCCCCCAAAUAAUGAACUACUUACUACAGGACCAGUCAGAUGUGAUUAUCACCGUAUUACUGGUUCUUGAUGUGGUGUUGGUGCGGACACCUCUACGUGAGCAAGGCCAUCCGGGUAGGCCCAUUAAGGGCUAGAGAGUGAAUUGUACCCACCCGUGAAUUACCCCGUAACCUCCAGGCGGGGACGGAUGCCAUUCAGCCGCAGCAACUGAUGCUCUGUGGGAAUCUUUUUCAAGAAAAGGUGGCAUUGAGAUUUUGGUAAAAUCUUCCAAUUUUUAAACUACUGGCAACUUAAAAUUCUUUUAAACACCAUGUAGAACAAAUUGUAGCGGACUUUAAUUCUUAGGCUUUCUGUUUGUAAUGUGAGGCAUACGCUAGCUAACAACCUGGUUCGGUGGGACUUUCCGGAUCCAGCCAGGAGGCAGCCACGUGUGGCUCGGAGGCCAAGAAUAGGCAGGGCGUUGUGCGGGCUCACCUGCUCUUAAUCUCCAGAGACCAGGCCAGGGGAGGGGACUCGUGCCACCCACAUUCACAUGAGGCCAGCAUGCACCAGAAGGUUCUUCUCACUCAGACGCAGUAGCUUCCCUUUCCUUCCGGAAAUGUGAACAUUAACCCGCGUCCCGAUGGUUGUCCUAGUUGUGGGACUGAGGCUGGGAGGGACGGGCUCCGUUGUCCCUUGUUUGACUGCAGGUCAAACGUUUUCCUCUUAAGAUAACACUUUUCUUUGUGAAGCAUUCCGUUGGUGACAGGCGUAAGAAAAUGGGAUCCUGGGCCGGGAGCCUCAGAUACGGGAUUUUGUGUGAUUGUCACAGUGGCUCUGGAGACGCGUACUACCCUCAUUUUACAUACGUACCGAGUGGAGUUCGUGGAGUUUCAGGAACUUUCCCGGGGAGAGAGUGGCUAGCAUGGGGCAGUGGUCCUGGGAACCACAUGCUUACACCCCAGCUCGCUCAGCUGGGCCCGGGUCUGGAGGAGGCGGGUCAGUGCAGACCGUGGCCGGCGGCUCCCGUCCACGAGGGAUCGCGGGGGCUACGUACAGAUGUCUGGGGCCAGCGUCAACCACGUGCCCACUGCGCUCGGUCACUGCCCUCGAUGGAGGCCUCUCCAGCGUCUCUUCCGCACGUUUCUGUGGCUUUACCGCCCUCUGUCAGCCUCCCUCCGCUCCUCUCCUUCCCGAAACUUACACUCUGCAGACGCUCCAAGGGAAACCGGCAUCCCUGCCUCCUUGCCGUCUUGUCGUUGCCAUUCUCUCUGCCGCCUCCAGGCUGUUUUCCCAGGACACUGCUCUGCCUGUCCUUCUUUCUGGUGAACGCAUCUCCUUCCUCCCGCAUCUGUCUCUGGGGUGAGACGCGGGGUUGCCAUUCUCUUCGUUCCCUGGUCCUAGUUCAAAGCUUAAUUCUUCCAGCCUUGUUUUAACACCCCAUCUCUUUUGAGACUCAUCCCGUCUAACUGCUCUCGUCUUUCUUGUCCUAGUCGGCUCCUGAUGACGGUGCCUGCUUGUUAGUGACUUUGGGGCCUGGCUCAUAAUGUCCCUUUUUACCCAAAUCUGCCAAGUUCACCUUCACCGUGCCCGACAGUGGCGUCUCCGGCAGCGUGGGCUCCUGCUUCUCCACCCGCUCGCUGUCGGGGCUCCUUUCUGGAUUGGAGCCUUGCCUGGAACUGCCCAUGGUGACGUUUCAGGAUCGAAGGCUCCCUUGCCCCCAGUCCUGAUUCUCUCCCGCUCUCACCUGUGUGGUCAAGCACCCAUUGUCUGACUUGAUGAUGUUCACGAGUGCCCUUCAUUCACUCCCGGCCUCUGACAGCCCGGAUUUGUCAUUCUGCCAUCAGUCUCUCCAAGGUCCUCGGUGUCUUUGCUCCCUCGGCCUUCAGUCUUAUUUCUCCUGGCAAAACUCUGAUCCUUGGCACAGCCAGCUCUACACCUUUUCCUCCCAUCCCGGCUGGGGUCCCGGCCGGUCCGCGGGGCUGUGGCACUUCCCUCUCUCCUCUGCCGGGUCUCGUGCGUUCUCUCCAGCGGGCCAUUUGAACCUCCUUCUGGACCCCCACCCACCUCCCUUCCCCUCCCUCAACCUCAGCUGGCAUCCUUACCUGCUGGGUCCCCCAAAUGGAAAAGAUUCAGCUGCUUGCCAGCUGAAAUUUGCCACACCUCAAAACGUAAUGGUAGUAGUUUGGUUUUUUUUUUUUUUAAUGUUUGUUUAUUUUUGAGAGAGAGAGAGAGACAGACAGACAGACAGACAGACACAGAAUCCGAAGCAGGCUCCAGGCUCUGAGCUAUCAGCACGGAACCUGACGUGGGGCUUGAACCCACAGACCAUGAGAUCAUGACCUGAGCCGUAGUUGGACGCUCAACCGACUGAGCCACCCAGGCGCCCCAAAAUGUAACGGUAUUAGUAUCUUUGCUGACUCUUCUCCUGUUACCACGAAAGGGCCGUGCUCUGGACUUGUGUCCUAUGGAAUGUCUUCUCUCCUGUAACUUCAUCCUCUCUGCUUCUAAGGAUGCUCAAGGCUGCCUCAUCUUUAGAAAGAUGACGUUCAUACACCCUUCUAGCCCCAUGUCCCCUGUGCUGUCCUGGUCAAAGGUGUGCUGCUUUCACUCAACUUCUUGACCCUGGGACCCGCACCUUAUUCAUGGCACAUACGACCAGUAAGAUUGAGUAAGAGGCCAUGGUCCCUGACCUUCCCUCCAGGGUGAAGUAAACAGAUUCCAAGCAAGUUGCCAAGUUUGGAACCCUCACGUAGGUUCCGAGAAACGAACGUCGACCUUUUUCUUAUGCAAGGCUUCUUUAUCCUGGUUCCUACUCAUACAUCCUUUUGAGCGAAAAUGCCAGUGAUGGACGAAUCAAGACGGCGUGGACGUGUCGUUCCUAGAUUUACUCCCCACGCAGCAGGGUUUCAAAGGCGGAGAAGCUCUCCGUGAUGUCAGUUCAGGAUGUGGCCACGGGCUGAGCUGCGGUGUCGGUGGGCACACGCAGAGCCCAGGGCCGGUGAGGUAAAGCGUAGCCAAGGGAGGCCCACGUGUGGUCUGACCUGUUUCGUGCUGGGAGGAGUCUGGAGAGGACUUCGGGAUGGGCCGUGCGGCAAGAAACCUCAUUUGUUGGCCAUUCAGGGUUGCAUGUGGAUCACUGUUUCCUCCCUCCUCCCUAAACCACCUCACGUUUGACAUUUUUGCUGGUGGGGUCAACCACCCAUGACCUCUUCCUGUAACAGCCUUCUCAUGAGCACACGCUGAGUUCUCCUGCUGGGACCUGUUCCCUGUGUCAGCAGAUGGGAGAGAAAAUGCAUCGCGUGGUUCCGUGAAAUAAGCCAUCUCGGUUGAUCUUACAUGAUUUUAUACAUUAAUUUAAGAUAUAAAAAGGGACGACUGUGGGAUCUCCUGUGGAAGCCUGUGGCUGCCGUAUAGUUGGGGUAAAUUCACGUCCGUGAGUGUUCCGUGUUCUAGGCGAUGUCCUCAGAAACACGGUCUCAUGGCCCCGGUUCUGCCUGUAUUCCCGACACUUCUGUUGUGGGAAGUGGCAUUCUCCCGGUGUGCUGGGGCAUAAAGACGCCUGUGUGAUGCGCACAUCAUCGUCCACGAGAGGAGUGUGUCUCUUCCUUCGUUUGAAGCACGUUUUCUCUCCUCAGCUUUCCGUGUGUGCGUUGGCGAACAUCUCCAGUGUUUUGGGGAUUGAAUGUGACCUUACGGGAAGUUUCCCUCUUCGCAGGGAUCUUUGGCAGGUGCUCGUGACAGAUGUGCAUCUUCAAAUGAAACGAUGAUCCGUGGUGCUUUAAAACUGGAGGACUCACGGGCAAGGGAGACAUUAUUUUCCCAUAACUCCCUAAUGGCAGAAAUUUUGUGGAAGGUGCCUCCCAUGAUUAACUUCAGGUCUUCCAACUUUUUCUUUUCCCCAGUUGCCUGGAACAUAAAAAAAAAAAAAAAAAAAAAAAAAAAGAUUGGUGCUCUGCUGAUUAGACCAGUGCCUGAAAUGAAGGAGCAUAUUUUGGAAGGCCUGGGAUGGAUGGUUUAAUGCUUUAGCAGGAGUCCAUCCUGUGCACAGCUUCAGGAGUGAGGGACAAAUCAGAUCAUUUAGGGGGUGCCUGGGUGGCUCAGUCGGGCAUCUGACUUCAGCUCAGGUCAUGAUACCACAUUCCAUGAGUUCGAGCCCCGCGUCGGGCUCUGUGCUGACAGCUCGGAGCCUGGGGCCUGCUUCGGAUUCCGUGUCUCCCUCUCUCUGCCCCUUUUCUGCUCAGGGAAACAAGCCAGGGAGGCACAGUGUGGCUGAAGACAGCAGACCAGUUGUGCUUACUGGCUUUCUUCCCCCUCUGAGGGACAUUGGAUUUCUUUUCCCUACUUUUGACAUUGAGUUUGAAGGUAUUUGGAAAGAGUUAAGAUGAAAAUAGUUGUUGCGAGUCAGAGACCGGCCCUGUGCUGAGCUUGGCACUCGUCAGCCAUGUGACUGAGAAGGGCGCUGGUCUUCCCCCAUCAGACACACUGGGGAGGUCGGACAGGCUUCUGUGUUACAGGGCUUCUCGAGCCUUUACUAGGGUGUAUGUGCGUGGUGAGCCUCUUCCUCACCCCUCCACCCCGCCACUGCAUUUCCCAAAGGGUUUUGAUCACGCACUCUUUUUCCCACGUAUGCAAGUGAAAACACUUGGUGUAUCCCUAGCUUUCUGUUGCUUUCUAGAUCUGGACUUGCUGUCCCUGAGUGAGUUUCAGGGGGUCUGGAUUUAGAUGCCUCAUUAGAGGAGUAUAGACAGACAGAUGGCUAGAUAGAUAGGUAUGUUUGUUUUUUCUGGGUGUUACCUCGAAGUUCUGUAACCCCAGUAAAAGGCAAGAGCCCGAGGAAGGAAGCCCGAGGUUUCUCUGGGAGUGCAUUUUUAAAUUCUGUAAAGAACCUGACAGCAGACACGGUCUCUGCAAGUUCUGGAUCCGGUCCGGGUAUUCCCGGGCGUCAAGGUGCUUACGGUUGUCCCACACUGGAGUCUGGAGUUCAUCCAAAUGAACGAGCCAGGGUUCCCCAGCUGCACAACAUAAAGGAGUCAAGACCUCCGUGUCAGACAGACCUGGGCGUGUUUCCGGCCAGCUACUCAGUGACCUUGGGUACCUCUCCUCCCUUCGGGGGCGUGCUUAUCUAGGAAAUGAAGGGUUAGGCUAGGACAAUGCAGAGAGAUUCUAGGCGUCUCACGGCUUCCGUUUCACGGGACGGGAGCUGAUAGGACCCUGGACUCCCUUGCCGCUGCUCAUUUUCCUCUGGCUUACUCUGUAGAGGGCAUGGGCUUAUCCCAGAGGGUGCUGUGAGUCCUGACAGUAAGGCCCCACUGAGGCCCGGGGGCCACUGCCCCAGGGCCCGGGGUCUUUGACAGCUUUGGUCUUCUUUGGAGCUGUCCAGGUCCUCUGUCUGCUUGGAGCCCUCCCCCGUGGGGGCAGCGGAGCCAGAAAUCCGUGUAAAGCAAUUUGCACGAGAAGACCGGGAACACGUUGCGGGUGGGGAUGUGGAAGAAGCAGCCUGCUGCUAAUCGAUGCCGGUCUCUCCCACUGAGCCCCAGUGCACCUUGGAGUCCUUAACCCGGUGCUCAGAAGUCCAGACCGGUGGAGUCUGGGCAGGAGAGAUGACCUUGGUGCCGUCCUGAGUGGGGUGGUUAAAGUAUGUGUUUGGAGUCUGCCAGGCUUAACUGCCCCACGACCAUUUGAAACUCUUUGAUCUCAGGCGGUUUACCUUGGAUUGCAUUCUACCUAGAAGUCCUUGAGAAGGACGCUUAGCUCUUCUGUGCCCGAGUUUCCCGCUCUGUGAAAUCGGGCUCGUGGCAGCGACAACCUCAAAGGGCGGUGGGCCGGUAAACGCAGGACAGUGUGUGUAGAAUGCUUGGGGCGGAGCCAGGCCCUGAGAGUCCAAGGACAUGGGCCCUGGCUGUGCCCCUUGUGGUGGUGGUCACUCUUAGCCCCGUCCCCUGGGGCGCAAGGCACGUCGUCAGGGUGUUCCAGCUGGAUGGGGGGGAAACGGGUCUAAAUGGCCUUCCAGGUGUAAGUCCGGCCCUUGGGUUCCAGAGUGGUUCUGGAGCCCGUGGUUUCUUUAAUUGUGAUCUGGCGUGACAUGUCUGUGCCCUGGGGUGACUCAUCAUCCUGGCCUGUCUGGAACUGACUUAGGGGUGUUAAUGGGAUGACUUGGGGUUUGAUAGAACAGGGACUUUCAGGGCUUGGGACAAAUCGCAUGGUCAUCACCCUCCUAAAAGCUGAAUGGUCUUCUUCCUCGUGAGGCCUCAAGGGGGUGAUCCGCGUGUGCACGCGGCACGUAGCGCACCACUCGACGCGUAGUGACUCCCCGGAUUUGCGUGUCUAAGUCUCAGAUUCACACCCUGCUCUCUGAGAGCUUGUAGGGAAGCAGUGGCCACGUGCUUUGUGUCUUUUUGGGUCGGCAUUUCCUGUUUGGGCCCCUCUUGACCAGCUUUUACACCCAGGCGUUGUUUUCUGCCGGUCUCCACUUCCAACCUGUAGAGCGAAUGUGGUAAUGUUCACCUCACGGGGCCCUGCUGAGGGUUCGGUAACGUGGGAUUGCGCGUCCUGAGGCACGUCUAGCACAGUGCCUGGCUCACAGAAGCCCUUAGUAAGUGGCCCCUUCUAGAAGAACGAAGUCCGGUAACGUUAGGGAGAGAUGCCCCUUGGGGUCGGAGGUCCGUCGGUGGGAACCCCCACGUCGGGGCGACGUUGGUGGGUCGACCUGUUUGGCUUCUUUAGCUCUAUUGUGUCUCCCGGCCCCUUUCUCAUUGUGAAUGCCUGGGAGGGAGCGCUGUGUGCCCGCACGACGGAAAAUGUGCGUUUUCUGGCUCCGUUGUAGGUGGUGAGGACUACCUGAUUAACCUCAUAGACUCUCCAGGACACGUGGACUUCUCCUCCGAGGUGUCCACGGCCGUGCGCGUGUGUGACGGCUGCAUCAUCGUGGUCGAUGCUGUGGAAGGAGUCUGCCCACAGGUAGGAGGUCCUGAUGUGGGAGUCUGUCACUGGGUGAGGAGGGCGGNNNNNNNNNNNNNNNNNNNNNNNNNNNNNNNNNNNNNNNNNNNNNNNNNNNNNNNNNNNNNNNNNNNNNNNNNNNNNNNNNNNNNNNNNNNNNNNNNNNNNNNNNNNNNNNNNNNNNNNNNNNNNNNNNNNNNNNNNNNNNNNNNNNNNNNNNNNNNNNNNNNNNNNNNNNNNNNNNNNNNNNNNNNNNNNNNNNNNNNNNNNNNNNNNNNNNNNNNNNNNNNNNNNNNNNNNNNNNNNNNNNNNNNNNNNNNNNNNNNNNNNNNNNNNNNNNNNNNNNNNNNNNNNNNNNNNNNNNNNNNNNNNNNNNNNNNNNNNNNNNNNNNNNNNNNNNNNNNNNNNNNNNNNNNNNNNNNNNNNNNNNNNNNNNNNNNNNNNNNNNNNNNNNNNNNNNNNNNNNNNNNNNNNNNNNNNNNNNNNNNNNNNNNNNNNNNNNNNNNNNNNNNNNNNNNNNNNNNNNNNNNNNNNNNNNNNNNNNNNNNNNNNNNNNNNNNNNNNNNNNNNNNNNNNNNNNNNNNNNNNNNNNNNNNNNNNNNNNNNNNNNNNNNNNNNNNNNNNNNNNNNNNNNNNNNNNNNNNNNNNNNNNNNNNNNNNNNNNNNNNNNNNNNNNNNNNNNNNNNNNNNNNNNNNNNNNNNNNNNNNNNNNNNNNNNNNNNNNNNNNNNNNNNNNNNNNNNNNNNNNNNNNNNNNNNNNNNNNNNNNNNNNNNNNNNNNNNNNUCUGUCUCUGUCUGUCACAAAAAUAAAUAAAACAUUAAAAAAAAUUAAAAAAAAAUUUUUUUUAAGUUUAUUAUUUUUGAGACAGUGUGCAAGCAGGGGAGGGGCGGAGAGAGGGAGACACAGAAUCCAAGGAGGCUCCAGGCUCUGAGCUGUCAGCACAGAGCCCAACACGGGGCUCAAACUCACAGACUGUUAGAUCGUGACCUGAGCCCAAGUCAGACGCUUAACCAACUGAGCCAUCCAGGCACCCCAAUAUUUUUAAAAAAGGAUAAUAAAAGGUUUAAAUUACUCAGAUGGAGGAGAUUUGAUAAUUGCAAGAAGUUGUGCCGUAAUUGUCCUGUUGCUUCCCCUCCGAGCCCUGAGGGCUCAGGUCCCCCGACUUGCGAGACAGAGCCUUCAUCUCUGUCCUGAAAGGAUAGUGGUGUUAAUGCACCUGACUUCAGAAUAGCAGAGCAGCGGUUUGCUCUGAGAGGGGAUUGUGGGCAGGGAGGUGUGCGUGGGCCUUCUGGGGGAGGGCGCUGUUUUUGGGGGCCUGUGUGUUGGCAACAUGAGCAUUUGUUUUCUAGUUGUUCAGAAAAGUGUGUGUGUGUGUGUGUGCGUGUGUGUGUAUAAUUCCAACAAACUCUGCUAUUUUCUGCACAACUUACCCUUCUUAAAUAACUUGUCAGUUCCGCAAAGGCAAAGACCGUUUCUUGUCUGUAGCUCUUUCCCUCUGUGUCACGGACAUAGAGUCCGUGCUACGUGCUUAGUGAGCGCACCUGUGUGAACGGUGUUGUCUGAGUUGUGAUAAAGGAGUAUGCAAAUGAGCUGAUUGUUAAUCAGGGUCUUUUAAGGUGCUUUAAUUAUUUCGAAUCGUGAGUUUCACAUUUUCUUUUCUGUUUUCACCAGACACAAGCUGUUCUGCGACAAGCCUGGCUUGAGAACAUCCGUCCGGUUUUAGUGAUUAAUAAGAUAGAUCGCCUGAUAGUGGAGCUGAAAUUCACCCCCCAGGAGGCCUAUUCUCACCUCAAGAAUAUUCUAGAACAGGUAUUUCA
rnacentral:lncRNA from 1 species